GCCAACAAAUUUUACUACUGCUUAAAGAUUGAAUUCCAACUAAUGCUGACCAUCAAUUAACUUGACAGUGACUUGAAAAUAGGUAUGAAGUUAACAUUAAGUUUUAAGCAUAAAUAACAAAAUUAAAGUUAAAUCAUACUGAAAAUGUUUCAUGAACACAAGACCAGGUUAUUAUAGCAUGACAUAUAUAUUUAAAAGUGAUUUACAUGUAACAUACUUUACUAUCUUUUAAGGUUAUAUAAUUUUGUAAAUAAUACAUUUCUCAAUAUGACCCAGUUAUCAAGUAUAUAACAUUUGAACAAUACCUGUGAUUGUGUAUAUGUACCCAGAAGUAGAAUUUACGAUUUUGAUCAAUAAUAUUUAGUGUCGUACCUUAUAUUUAUUUUUUUCUAAAGGAUAAAUAUAAUGUUUUCGUAAGUUAUAAUCCCAGUUAUAAUCAGUGAAUGAUUGUUGGGAGUAACCUCGUAGAGGUUGAAGAAGUUAAACAAGCUAUAAGCCUGCUACAUAGAUAUGUUUGGUAAUAUUCAACUACGCGAAUGGCUUUGAUGGAAAUGUUGUAUAAACACUGUGGGCUGCGUUGUCCAUACGUAGAAAACGGAUGUAAAUAUGUUUGUAGGAGUAAGGAUAAAGAAGAGUUUGUGAGACAUAAAGAAACAUGCAUAUAUGGAAAACGUCCAAAGGUUAAUACCGAAUGUGGACUGGUACGUGAUUUAAGUAGUAGCUUUGAGACUCGUAGUACUCAAAAUGAACCAAAGGCAAUGACAGCUACACAUCUGCAUAAACGAGAAGAGAAUUUGAGAUGUAUAAAUAGGUUACCCAGAGGCAGAACAUCUCCGGUAACAAAUAAAGAACCUUCUUGCCUGAUCACUGGACAGAAAAUGUGAGGCGUGCUCAGAUUCAUGAUGUAAUAGAAAGUUUGGAGGCAGAAAAUAAAACGAGUGAAGAUGAACAUAAUCAGCAAUAUGUGCCCAGAAGAUCACGCUACACGAGCUUGACAUAUGAAGAUCCAGAGCAACUAGAAUCUGACGUGUUUCAUCCUGAAAACGCAAGAGAUAAUUAUCCACAUGCACUGGUUACAGAGGAAGCUAGAGCAUUGUUCCGUUUUAAAAGUCAUUAUUCUUGUUAACAUUUCUUGGAAUAUACGUUGGAAAUACAAAACAAUUAAAGAUAUCUUUCAUAGUGCUUAUCUUCUAACCUUGCCGAAUUUCGUUAUCUGUGGAUGCUAAAGAAAAAAAUAAAGUACGUUUCUUUGGAGUGAUUGCCACGCAAGUCAUUCCAUUAACAUUAGAAAUUAGCCUUUGAGUGCCAUGUAACGACGGUACCGAUCCCCCCGUAA
rnacentral:lncRNA from 1 species